CCUGGGGUUGUUGUACUAACUGAACAUAUCAGAUUAGAAGACUGAAACUAACUCGUUUAUAAUUCUUAUAUAUUCAUAAAGCCAUUCUGAGUGUUUUGGGCUGUACAAUACGAUUAUAUCAGGGCAGGAAAACCCCUAGUUGAAUAUCUGGCUUAAUCUUCUUUUGGCCUUGCUCGUUCUCCCAAAAAUCUUCUUUUAACAAUGCAAUUGAGGAAGCGGAAGCACACCAAAAGUGGUUAAAUGUGGUCUGGCUUGCCAGUGCACGGGCUGUUAUGGACUUCCUCUGCAAAGUAUUUCAUUUUGGACACAGUCCCUUUCUAAACACAGCGCACCUGGGACAACAGCUUUGGUUCCAGACACAGUGUUAAUCAGCAGCAAUGCAUGCCUGCCAGCGGCUCGUAUAUACAAUUAAUAUUAUGCCCUGACUUUUAACAGCCGAUAUUGCGGCUCUUAUGAAAACAGAAUACCGCAGAGUGCCACGACUCCAGCGUUUAGCCGAAGCAGAAUGACAGCAUUUUUACAGAAAUCUUCUUGAUUGCUGAAAGGAUCUCAAAGAAUUUGGAGGGAAAGUGGCAAAGAAAAAUAUUUAAGCAGCCCUAAUGCAUUCUUUCAUGAGCUGUGGUGUGUCCAUUGCCUGGGCAAUAAGACAAAACAUACCCUGCAGAAUCCGACGGUUGUCUCAUUGGGAAGACAAGUCAUUUUCACAUGAAGGUAUCCAUGACUAGGCCGUCUUAGUGUUUGACAUUCCAGUAUUGAUUCCACUCUGAGGGUGUGGAGGGGAUUUCCGCCGUAAUCUCCAGUGAAAGAGGUGCGUGCCGUGCGCUGGAAACACACUCACAGGCUAAUUCGAGGCAAAGUAAAGCUCUCAUCUGGGAUUGGUAAGAGUCUCUCCAAGCACCCCAAAGACUUCCAGCUCAUUCUUGAUUGCACAUGGCAGCCUCUGACCUGUACCGAAGGCACCCGCUGCCAUGGAAGAUUGAUGAUUAUCGAUGCAGAAACCCUUUGCUAAUUCAGCGUACAAGCAUUCGUCGGCAGCGUUAAUCCGCUUCCUAUGGAGAAGGCCGAGGGGGUGUGUGAAAGCAGGCUGUGUGUCAUCCCUUCAGCUCUGACAGAGUUCCUGGAAGGAAAGGUGAGGAAAGGUUGUGUACACAGGUGAUUACUUAAUCAUGGUAUCCUCUGUGAGAGAGGGCCAACAAAAGGUCAUGUCACUCCAGCAACAAAGCUCAAUGUACCCUCGUAACUACUCUGCUCAAACAACACUAUGCCAGAGACCUCACCUAAUAAAGGAGUGGUUACACGUGUUUUGAUAGCUAAGCUCAUCUCAACUGAGAACCCUCCUAAAACAUGCCCAUGGUUUGAAUAUUGCAUGAAUUAAGACUGCAAUUGCUGACAUGGUUUGACUUGAGAGUCCCUUUUGGUUUGGCGUACUACUUUCAUGUUUUUUGCACUUAGUAACUUCCUCUUAGAUGGACUUUUGCAUGUGACUGAUGGCCUUCAGUUGUUGCUCUCCGUGGCUCGGCAGUCCACCCUCUCUGUGAGCCCCGACGAAUCUCUACAUUGUGACUGUGCGACUAAACAAACAUGAAGUGGCUCUUCAGAGCUUUAAGGACUUAAGAGAUUCUUAGAUUUGAAAGACGGAGUGAGAAUAGAUUGAAAUGUUUUUGGACUACAUUACAUUUAACUUUUUUAUUAUUAUUAUU